GACGAACGCUGGCGGCGUGCUUAACACAUGCAAGUCGAACGGAAAGGCCCUGCUUUUGUGGGGUGCUCGAGUGGCGAACGGGUGAGUAACACGUGAGUAACCUGCCCUUGACUUUGGGAUAACUUCAGGAAACUGGGGCUAAUACCGGAUAGGAGCUCCUGCUGCAUGGUGGGGGUUGGAAAGUUUCGGCGGUUGGGGAUGGACUCGCGGCUUAUCAGCUUGUUGGUGGGGUAGUGGCUUACCAAGGCUUUGACGGGUAGCCGGCCUGAGAGGGUGACCGGCCACAUUGGGACGGGGAUACGGCCCAGACUCCUACGGGAGGCAGCAGUGGGGAAUAGUGCACAAUGGGCUGAAGCCUGAUGCAGCAACGCCGCGUGCGGGAUGACGGCCUUCGGGUUGUAAACCGCUUUCGCCUGUGACGAAGCGUGAGUGACGGUAAUGGGUAAAGAAGCACCGGCUAACUACGUG
rnacentral:rRNA from 1 species